UACGUAGGGCGCAAGCGUUGUCCGGAAUUAUUGGGCGUAAAGAGCUCGUAGGCGGCCUGUCGCGUCUGCUGUGAAAUCCCGGGGCUCAACCCCGGGCCUGCAGUGGAUACGGGCUGGCUGGAGGCAGGCAGGGGAGAACGGAAUUCCUGGUGUAGCGGUGAAACGCGCAGAUAUCAGGAGGAACACCGGUGGCGAAGGCGGUUCUCUGGGCCUGUUCUGACGCUGAGGAGCGAAAGCGUGGGGAGCGAACAGG
rnacentral:rRNA from 1 species